UCGAGCGGUAACAGGGGAAGCUUGCUUCUUGCUGACGAGCGGCGGACGGGUGAGUAAUGUAUGGGGAUCUGCCCGAUAGAGGGGGAUAACUACUGGAAACGGUAGCUAAUACCGCAUAAUCUCUUAGGAGCAAAGCAGGGGAACUUCGGUCCUUGCGCUAUCGGAUGAACCCAUAUGGGAUUAGCUAGUUGGUGAGGUAAUGGCUCACCAAGGCGACGAUCCCUAGCUGGUCUGAGAGGAUGAUCAGCCACACUGGGACUGAGACACGGCCCAGACUCCUACGGGAGGCAGCAGUGGGGAAUAUUGCACAAUGGGCGCAAGCCUGAUGCAGCCAUGCCGCGUGUAUGAAGAAGGCCUUAGGGUUGUAAAGUACUUUCAGUUGGGAGGAAGGCGUUGAUGCUAAUAUCAUCAACGAU
rnacentral:rRNA from 1 species